rnacentral:rRNA from 1 species
CCUACGGGAGGCAGCAGUGAGGAAUAUUGGUCAAUGGGCGCGAGCCUGAACCAGCCAAGUCGCGUGAGGGAAGACGGUCCUAUGGAUUGUAAACCUCUUUUGUCGGGGAGCAAAAGCCGCCACGCGUGGCGUUCCGAGAGUACCCGAAGAAAAAGCAUCGGCUAACUCCGUGCCAGCAGCCGCGGUAAUACGGGGGAUGCGAGCGUGAUCCGGAUUUGUUGGGUUAAAAGGGUGCGCAGGCGGAAGAUCAAGUCAGCGGUAAAAUUGAGAGGCUCAACCUCUUCGAGCCGUUGAAACUGGUUUUCUUGAGUGAGCGAGAAGUAUGCGGAAUGCGUGGUGUAGCGGUGAAAUGCAUAGAUAUCACGCAGAAUUCCGAUGGCGAAGGCAGCAUACCGGCGCUAAACUGACGCUCAGGUACGAAAGUGUGGGUAGCGAACAGGAUUAGAUACCCGGGUAGUC